CCUACGGGAGGCAGCAGUGGGGAAUAUUGCACAAUGGGCGAAAGCCUGAUGCAGCAACGCCGCGUGAAGGAAGACGGUUUUCGGAUUGUAAACUUCUAUCAAUAGGGAAGAAAGAAAUGACGGUACCUGACUAAGAAGCCCCGGCUAACUACGUGCCAGCAGCCGCGGUAAUACGUAGGGGGCAAGCGUUAUCCGGAUUUACUGGGUGUAAAGGGAGCGUAGGCGGUGCAGCAAGUCAGAAGUGAAAGCCCGGGGCUCAACUCCGGGACUGCUUUUGAAACUGUUGAACUAGAUUGCAGG
rnacentral:rRNA from 1 species